rnacentral:rRNA from 1 species
UACGGGGGGGGCAAGCGUUGUUCGGAAUUACUGGGCGUAAAGCGCACGUAGGCGGCUUUGUAAGUUAGAGGUGAAAGCCCGGAGCUCAACUCCGGAACUGCCUUUAAGACUGCAUCGCUUGAACGUCGGAGAGGUAAGUGGAAUUCCGAGUGUAGAGGUGAAAUUCGUAGAUAUUCGGAAGAACACCAGUGGCGAAGGCGACUUACUGGACGACUGUUGACGCUGAGGUGCGAAAGCGUGGGGAGCAAACAGG